UGAUAAAGAGAGGAGUUAAACCCCUAUAAAUAGAACUACAGUCUACUACC
rnacentral:tRNA from 1 species